rnacentral:rRNA from 1 species
AGUGAACGCUGGCGGUAGGCCUAACACAUGCAAGUCGAACGGCAGCACAGUAAGAGCUUGCUCUUACGGGUGGCGAGUGGCGGACGGGUGAGGAGUACAUCGGAAUCUACUUUUUCUUGGGUGAUAACGUGGGGAAACUUACGCUAAUACCGCAUACGACGUACGGGUGAGAUCAGUGGAUCUUCGGACCUUGCGCGAUUCAAUGAGCCGAUGUCGGAUUAGCUAGUUGGCGGGGUAAAGGCCCACCAAGGCGACGAUCCGUAGCUGGUCUGAGAGGAUGAUCAGCCACACUGGAACUGAGACACGGUCCAGACUCCUACGGGAGGCAGCAGUGGGGAAUAUUGGACAAUGGGCGCAAGCCUGAUCCAGCCAUACCGCGUGGGUGAAGAAGGCCUUCGGGUUGUAAAGCCCUUUUGUUGGGAAAGAAAAGCAGCAGGUUAAUACCCCGCUGUUCUGACGGUACCCAAAGAAUAAGCACCGGCUAACUUCGUG